GACGAACGCUGGCGGCGUGCUUAACACAUGCAAGUCGAACGGAAAGGCCCUGCUUUUGUGGGGUGCUCGAGUGGCGAACGGGUGAGUAACACGUGAGUAACCUGCCCUUGACUUUGGGAUAACUUCAGGAAACUGGGGCUAAUACCGGAUAGGAGCUCCUGCUGCAUGGUGGGGGUUGGAAAGUUUCGGCGGUUGGGGAUGGACUCGCGGCUUAUCAGCUUGUUGGUGGGGUAGUGGCUUACCAAGGCUUUGACGGGUAGCCGGCCUGAGAGGGUGACCGGCCACAUUGGGACUGAGAUACGGCCCAGACUCCUACGGGAGGCAGCAGGGGGGAAUAUUGCACAAUGGGCGGAAGCCUGAUGCAGCAACGCCGCGUGCGGGAUGACGGCCUUCGGGUUGUAAACCGCUUUCGCCUGUGACGAAGCGUGAGUGAGGGUAAUGGGUAAAGAAGCACCGGCUAACUACGUG
rnacentral:rRNA from 1 species